rnacentral:rRNA from 1 species
UACGAAGGGGGCUAGCGUUGUUCGGAUUUACUGGGCGUAAAGCGCACGUAGGCGGAUCGUUAAGUCGGGGGUGAAAUCCUGGAGCUCAACUCCAGAACUGCCUUCGAUACUGGCGAUCUUGAGUCCGGAAGAGGUGAGUGGAACUCCUAGUGUAGAGGUGGAAUUCGUAGAUAUUAGGAAGAACACCAGUGGCGAAGGCGGCUCACUGGUCCGGUACUGACGCUGAGGUGCGAAAGCGUGGGGAGCAAACAGGGAGUA